rnacentral:rRNA from 1 species
UGGGGAAUGCCUUGGCUCUCAGAGACGAUGAAGGACGCGAUAAGCUGCGAUAAGCUUCGGGGAUUAGCACAUAUGAAUUGAUCCGAAGAUUUCCGAAUGGGACAACCCAGCUAGUUGAAGACUAGUUAUCCAGCAAUGGAGGUUAACCCAGGGAACUGAAACAUCUAAGUACCUGGAGGAAGAGAAAACAAUAGUGAUUCCGUAAGUAGUGGCGAACGAACGCGGAUUAGCCCAAACCAUAACUGUUACGGCAGUUGUGGGGUUGUAGGACUACGAUGUGGACUAUAUAAAUGAAUUAGAAUCAACUGGAAAGUUGAGCCGAAGAGGGUGAAAGCCCCGUAUAAGUAAGUUUAUAUUACCUAGUAGUAUCCUGAGUAGGGCGGAGCAGGUGAAACUCCGUUUGAAUCUGCCGGCACCAUCCGGUAAGGCUAAAUACAUCUACAUGACCGAUAGUGAACUAGUACCGUGAGGGAAAGG